CCAAUAGCGUAUAUUAAAGUUGUUGCAGUUAAAAAGCUCGUAGUUGAAUUUCGGGAUUCUUCCGUUGGUCGGGCUAUCCAGUCUGUACUAGCGUGUAGAAUUUCUACCUUCUGGGGAACCAUCAUGUUAUUAAUUUAGCGUGGUGGGAAACCAGAACCUUUACCUUGAAAAAUUUAGAGUGUUCAAAGCAGGCUUACGUCUGAAUACAUUAGCAUGGAAUAAUAGAAUAGGACGGUGGUCCUGUUUUGUUGGUUUCUGAAUCACCGUAAUGAUUAAUAGGGAUAGUUGGGGGCAUUAGUAUUCAAUUGUCAGAGGUGAAAUUCUUGGAUUUAUUGAAGACUAACUUCUGCGAAAGCAUUUGCCAAGGAUGUUUUCAUUAAUCAAGAACGAAAGUUAGGGGAUCGAAGACGAUCAGAUACCGUCGUAGUCUUAACCAUAAACUAUGCCGACUAGGGAUCGGACGAUGUUAAAUUUUAUUGACUCGUUCGGCGCCUUACG
rnacentral:rRNA from 1 species